rnacentral:tRNA from 1 species
GAGGGUAUAGCCCAGUGAUGAAGCACUUGCUUAGGAUGCACAAGGUCCUGGGUUCAAUCCCCAGCACCUUCA